rnacentral:rRNA from 1 species
AGUGAACGCUGGCGGUAGGCCUAACACAUGCAAGUCGAACGGCAGCACAGGAGAGCUUGCUCUCUGGGUGGCGAGUGGCGGACGGGUGAGGAAUACAUCGGAAUCUACUUUUUCGUGGGGGAUAACGUAGGGAAACUUACGCUAAUACCGCAUACGACCUACGGGUGAAAGCAGGGGACCUUCGGGCCUUGCGCGAUUGAAUGAGCCGAUGUCGGAUUAGCUAGUUGGCGGGGUAAAGGCCCACCAAGGCGACGAUCCGUAGCUGGUCUGGGAGGAUGAUCAGCCACACUGGAACUGAGACACGGUCCAGACUCCUACGGGAGGCAGCAGUGGGGAAUAUUGGACAAUGGGCGCAAGCCUGAUCCAGCCAUACCGCGUGGGUGAAGAAGGCCUUCGGGUUGUAAGGCCCUUUUGUUGGGAAAGAAAUCCAUCUGGUUAAUACCCGGGUGGGAUGACGGUACCCAAAGAAUAAGCACCGGCUAACUUCGUGCCAGCCGCCGCCGUAA